GAUGAACGCUGGCGGCGUGCCUAAUACAUGCAAGUCGAGCGAACGGACGAGAAGCUUGCUUCUCUGAUGUUAGCGGCGGACGGGUGAGUAACACGUGGAUAACCUACCUAUAAGACUGGGAUAACUUCGGGAAACCGUAGCUAAUACCGGAUAAUAUUUUGAACCGCAUGGUUCAAAAGUGAAAGACGGUCUUGCUGUCACUUAUAGAUGGAUCCGCGCUGCAUUAGCUAGUUGGUAAGGUAACGGCUUACCAAGGCAACGAUGCAUAGCCGACCUGAGAGGGUGAGCCGCCACCAUUGGAACUGAGCCGCCGCCCAGCCUCCACGGGGAGGAACCAGAGGGGAUUCUUCCGCAUGGGGGAAAGCCCGUACGGGACAACCCCGGGGGAGUAAUAAAGUUUUCGGAAUAGAAAACCUUUUUUAUUGGGAAAAAAAAUUUUUGUAAUAACCGGGCCACUCCUUGAGGUACCCUAAUCAAAAGCCCACGCAAACCUCCGCC
rnacentral:rRNA from 1 species